AGAGACUCCGCGCUGUGGCGAGGCGGCGGAGCGAGGGUGCGUUGUUGCCAGGACGGGGCCGUACGGAGAAAGACUCCAGGAUUCAAGAGUGCUUAAGAGGAAAAUCCGUUGCUUUUCGUGUAGAACUAUAUAUAACGCUCUGAAGAGCUGCCUGGGAGGAGAUGCGCUGCCUGCCGUGGUUGGAUUUCAGCUGCAGCCGGGGUGCGUGUUGGGUUAGUGUGCAGCCCACAGGAAAUUCUGGCUUCAUUGACAACAAUGGCAGAAAUUUGCGCUUUCUGGAGUGCAAGAGUUCUUCUCUACCACUGCAUAAAACUGCCCAAAGGGAAUCACGAAUACUUCAGCAUUUCAGAGCUACUUCUGGAAAUGACUUGACUAGGAACUCACAGGUGUUGUGCACAUUCUUGUGCAUUGCUUCAACAUGCAAAUUGCUUUGGUAUCAUAGUCUUAUACUGAAGGUAAUACUGUCUCAGUCUGUGUGUACAUCUUCCUGCUUAUGAGCAAAACUACUCAUUAAUAUUGAUAGAAGAAUGCAUUAAAAGAUUCAUAUUGUAGAAGAAAUGCAAACACUGCAAGCUGAGGGAGAAAGACACCAAUACCUUUUUUUUUUUUCCCCCUUUUUCUUUUUUCUUUUUUACCUAAGUGAAAAGUGAGGAUCCGUAGCAUUUUGGAAUUCAGCAACGAACAACUUUGCACAUCAGAACAUCAGCACACUUCUUAGAGUUGAUGUUAGCUGAGUCACUUGCUACUUUCAACUGUAACUCCCUCAUAGAGAAGGUAUAUUAGAAAAAUCAAUAGGGAAAUCAAUAUGUUUUAUCCAAGAUAUCGGAUGUGCCCCAGAUGCUUACAUUGCUAAAUAGUAUUUGAUUCAAAUAAAAUAUAUCUUGCACCCUUUGUAUUAAAGUGGGAGUUGACAUGUAUUUCUCUUGUCUCCCUUCUCCAUUCCCGGUUGAGUAGCAUUUGCACUCUGGCACCAAUUUGUGUGGAAUUUCAAUGUGUUUUGGAAAUAAAAUUGAUUAGCACUUUCUUUCCUGAAGAACCAUCUUAACAUCAUCCCUACAAUUAUAGGAAAUUAAGUUGAAUAAAAAUACUUUUUAGUUUUAUUUCCCAAAUAAAGAAAUAAUGCAGUAUAAUGAAGGGCUGUGCAGGAGAGCUCUAGGACUACUUUACAAAAAGCAACAGUCAGUGAAGUGGAAAAAUGAGGGAAUAAAAACUGAAUUUCACAGUAAACUGUUUCCAUUGGAUUUAAUCUCUAGACAUCACGUUGAUAUUUAUGUGCAUACAAAUUAUAUUCUAUGGGAACACUACGGGGUAAAUUAACAGUGCACUGCACAUAGAUUAGACAUGCAGAUGACAAAAGUGGGAGUUAAGUGUGUAGAAAAUAUAUCCCUAAAUCAACAUUUACUUAACUCGUUGACAAACAGGAGCAUCAGGAAAGCAUUUUAAGACUUACUACAUUUUGCAUGAAGACACACAGCUCUUAGUAAAGAUGUUGGUAAUGUCCUCUAACUUUCUCACAACAGCAUUAUCUUUAAUAUAAGACUGGUAAGCAUUCUUUUGGCAAGCUAAAUGUUAAAGUAAAUAGAUGAAAGAAAGAAAAAUCCAGGGGCCGCAUGGUUUCAUGAUGAUAACAGGACACAGUGGUUCUUAUCUAUAGGUUAGAAUCACACUUUGGAACACAUUCAGUGAACUUCCAGUGAGGUGGGAGUUUCAGCUAUUUUCAAAGCUUAACAGC
ensembl:lncRNA